GACAGAGGGUGCAAGCGUUGUUCGGAAUUACUGGGCGUAAAGGGCGCGUAGGCGGUUGGGAAAGUUGAUUGUGAAAUCCCUCGUUUCAAGCGAGGAACUGCAGUCAAAACUACCCAGCUCGAGUCCCGGAGAGGAAAGUGGAAUUCCCGGUGUAGAGGUGAAAUUCGUAGAGAUCGGGAGGAACACCAGAGGCGAAAGCGGCUUUCUGGACGGUGACUGACGCUGAGGCGCGAAAGCGUGGGGAG
rnacentral:rRNA from 1 species